UGACGGUAUGAGAAGAACCUGCAGACAUGUUU
rnacentral:piRNA from 1 species